UACGGAGGGUGCAAGCGUUAUUCGGAUUUAUUGGGCGUAAAGGGCGUGUAGGUGGUCUGAUAAGUCAGGUGUGAAAGCCCCUGGCUCAACCAGGGAAGUGCAUUUGAAACUAUCAGACUUGAGUACGGGAGGGGGAAGUGGAAUUCCUGGUGUAGAGGUGAAAUUCGUAGAUAUCAGGAGGAAUACCGGUGGCGAAGGCGACUUCCUGGACCGAUACUGACACUGAGACGCGAAAGCGUGGGGAGCAAACAGG
rnacentral:rRNA from 2 species